CGGCAACAGCUCAAAUUUGAAAUCUGGCGUCUUUGGCGUCCGAGUUGUAAUUUGCAGAGGAUGCUUCUGGGUUAGCCAACGGUCUAAGCUUCUUGGAACAGGACGUCACAGAGGGUGAGAAUCCCGUAUGUGACCGUCAGGCGCCCUCUACGUAGCUCCUUCGAC
rnacentral:rRNA from 1 species